rnacentral:lncRNA from 1 species
AUUACAAUGAAUUUCAUACAUUACAUUAUUUAAUUAUUAGUAUAAUAUAUUAAUAUACCCGUAUUUACAAAUCUAUUUACUAAUCAUUGUUAAGUUGAAUUGAAUUAUUCAUUUGUAUCAAAACUUUACAAGAUGAUUUGCAUAACAAAUAGAUUCAAGGAAUUAAUAAUGUGAUCUAAUAAAAAGUUGGUAUAACUAUUAUGAAAAAUUAAUAUGUAUUGCAUCAGAGAGAUGGAUAAGAAUUUAAAAAUGAUGACCUUGAGUCAAAUAAAAAUUAAAAUUAAAAUUUCAUAAACUUGUACAAUAAAUAAAUAGCAAUCACAUUAAACAAGCAGUCAAGGAAAUCCUUAAUAAACACUUGGUAUCAUCUUGAAAGAAAAUGGUAAAAAGUAAUCAAACAGGCUUCAGAAUUCUAACCUUGCAGUUCCUACUAAAUUAGAAUUUAAAAAUACGAAGACAUUAGAGAAUAAACGAAAAUGAAUACAUUAGAUCUGUCGACUAAUAAAAUAAUUCAAAGUUAAAAACUUUUUUUGAGAUCUAUAAUGAAGGAAAUAUAUUUAAGCUGUUGGCGUAAUUUCUAGGCUUCGUAAUCCGAUAAAGUAAAAAGAAAGAGAAAACUAAAAAAAAAAGUGAAACAGCACAAUAAGUUAACGUAGUUUAAUGAGAGGAUGACACGUCAGACGUAUCUGCAACGAACACAGUAUCGACGUUGAUAAUAAAGAAGUAUCUAGCAACUACAUGCCGUCCAUGUGGACAAUCCAACAGAUCUGAUUUCAAAAUGGCGACUGAGGAAGACUUACGCGAUAUAAAAUAAUAAAAUAACGCAGAGAAAGAAAUUUUAAGGUGCUCCCAAUCAGAAAAAUGCGGAGUAACAAAUAAUCCAAUUUCUCAAAUAUAAAUAAUGGUACAUAAA